UUUUUUCUUUGGCCUUCUGAUUCUUUCUCCUCGUCUCUUCUUUCGUUUCUCUCAAUUUCUGAACUCUCUCUGAUCAAUACAGGAAUUCCAAGCUAACUUCGUUUUCUCAGCUUUUUUGCUUUGUCUGCCAGAGUAAAGGGGUUGCUGAUUGCUACAAGAAAAAUGGUUCAGAUCAAGGAAUUCCGAAUUGUCAUGCCCAUGUCACUGGAAGAGUAUCAGAUAGCCCAGAUGUACAUGGUAAUGAAGAUGCAGCAACAGAGUACUAGUAGUACUGAGGGUGUUGAAGUCUUGGAGAAUAGGCCCCUGGAGGAUGAUGUAUUUGGAAAGUGUCAAUACACAUCCAAAGUUUAUCGGUUGCAAAGCAAAGCUCCUACUUGGCUUACGACUUUUGCACCAGCAGAUGCUCUUAUCAUGCAAGAAGAAGCUUGGAAUGCAUA
rnacentral:misc_RNA from 1 species